rnacentral:lncRNA from 1 species
UUCUUUGAAAAAUGAAUUUUUUUUGUUGUUGUCUGCAAUAAGAAGCCUGAAAAAAUAUCAUUCAACUGUGAUGUUUCUGGUGAUAUGCUGUGUGCUGAAGAGAGAGAUGAGGACGUGACUCUGCUGUCUUCAGUCACAUACAAGGGGUGACCUGAUGGACAGUAUAACCUUAGAGGAACAGGCAAGAAAAUGCCUCCGUUUACUAGAGUGACUAUCUAUGUCUCUGAAGCUGACUCUCAGAUCACCCACAUUUCUUCUUGUCUCUUCCAAUGGAAAACAAAAGAGAGCAGCCCUUGGUGUGUCUGUCCAGCAGAAGUGCCUGGUGCACAAAAGGACUGCAUCCUGUUGGAUUAACUGCAUUUUAAAC